ACGGAAGGCAGCAGUGGGGAAUAUUGCACAAUGGGGGAAACCCUGAUGUAGCGACGCCGCGUGAGUGAAGAAGUAUUUCGGUAUGUAAAGCUCUAUCAGCAGGGAAGAAAAUGACGGUACCUGACUAAGAAGCCCCGGCUAACUACGUGCCAGCAGCCGCGGUAAUACGUAGGGGGCAAGCGUUAUCCGGAUUUACUGGGUGUAAAGGGUGCGUAGGCGGCACGGCAAGUCAGAAGUGAAAUCCCAGGGCUCAACCCUGGAACUGCUUUUGAAACUGUCGAGCUAGAGUACAGGAGGGUAAGCGGAAUUCCUAGUGUAGCGGUGAAAUGCGUAGAUAUUAGGAGGAACACCAGUGGCGAAGGCGGCUUACUGGACUGACACUGACGCUGAGGCACGAAAGCGUGGGGAGCAAACAGGAUUAGAUACCCUGGUA
rnacentral:rRNA from 1 species